GCCUCUCCAGAGCCAGGCUCCGCGGCUGGAGCAGCAGACGUCCCCUCCCCGGCCGGAGCGGCUGCUACCGCUACUACCGGCUUCGUUUCCCCUUCUUCUGCCGGUGUUGCAUUUGCAGCCACUGCCGGGCCGGGUCCUGCAUUCACUCCCGGGCCGGGUACGGUUCCCGCCGCCGCCAUCACUGCCGCCUCCCAGACUUCUCGCGAGAAUACUGUCUCCGUCUCGCGCGAGUUGCUCACUGGCCCUCUAACCUUCAAAUAGUAAAGAUUCUCAGUGAGCACACCGCCUGCCAAGGGAAGGCGCGCUCUAAACCCGCUUUAAGGUCGGGAGGGCAGACAGAAGUGGGCGGGGCCUCGGGGCUGGGUAGCUACAGACCGAGCCACGUGAAGGCGGAGGAGAUGGUGCCCUGCCCCCUUCUCUCCUGUUUCAGUUCCAGCAAGGAGCCAGAACCUGUGCCAUCAACAUCCGGCAUGAGUGAAAUGGCAGCUCGCCCUCCAUCUCCUAUUGCUGAUGACCCUGCAGCUCUACCAUCGCUCACCUCCACUCCCUCCUCCAAAUUUAAAUCCCUCCUCAAGUGCUCAAUCACCAGAUCAACUGGAACCUAAGGGGUGAUGAUGUUGACCUUUUCUGACCCUCCUGACUUCAAUCAACUAAAGCUUGGACUGUCCCCUGCUCAAGCCCCUUCAUGAACAUGCACGUACCCUUAGGUUAAAACUUUCCCAAUUUUGCUGUUUGGAAACACUACUUUGAGAAAGAUCUCUGGUGUUCUCUUUACUUGAUACAAGUAAUAAAU